rnacentral:snRNA from 1 species
GGAUGUGAGGGCAAACUGGCUGCUACAUCUGUCACCCCAUUGAUCGCCAGGGUUGAUUCGGCUGAUCUGGCUGGCUAGGUCCCCUUCCUCCCUUACUGCUCCAUGUGCUUCCCUCCCGAAGGUGUGCUCUCAGUUGAAGAGGACAACCUUCCCCAAUAGAGGUGGACUGUUUGUUCUUCUGUCAAGGGUAAACGAGUAGCUGCGUUUCCCUGCUAGAACCUCCAAACAAGCUCUAAGAAGAGAGGUUAGCAAACUAUGGUCCAUGGGCCAUAUAGCAUUUGUGGCUAUUGUCUAUGGCUGCUU